CAGCCGGCUCCGGGCAGAGCCAGUGCCCCAGGCACCUUUCCAAGGCAACUGUGCAAACACAUUCACUUCAGGUCAACCUUCUGUCUGCAUGAUGCAGCCUGUAAACGGGCUCUGCACCCUACAAGAGGCACGGGGAUUUGCUGCUUGUUUUCGCUCAUGUGUUGUGUAAGUUUUCGCUUAGUGAAGGGAGAACUUCCAGAGGCCGUCACGCUCGAUCACGCAUUUGCCAGCACUCAUAAAACCGUAGCAUUUUUGCUCAAACAAUUUUUUUUUUAAGAACAGGGUCUCACUCUGUCAUCCAGGCUGGAGUGCAGUGGCACGGUCAUAGCACACUGCAACCUUGAACUCCUGGACCCAAGCAAUCCUUCACAGCAUCCCAAGGUGCUGGGAUUACAAAUGCUCACAGCUAUUAUCGGAGUCUCUUAGGAUCAUUGUGCUAACCUUGUUGAGGGAAAGGAAGGCUGACUCACUCCUUUUCCAUUCAGCAAUGAAGAUCAGUGAAGGCUCAGUGAAGCCAAAGAUCACAGAGAAAUGGUGGUGAGAGGAUACUCCUCAACAUUCAUUGCAUUCUAAGUGUCUAUGCCUGGGUGGGAUGUUCUGGAGAAUACACAGGGAAAGUAACUCGUGAACCUGCUUUGGACUGACCCCAUCUGUUGGUUUCUACUUUGCUGCACUAACGUCUUUGAGUCUCCAUGACCCCACUCUGGACUCUGAUCCUCACUCUGGAUCUUGCUCCUGAUCUCGGGAGUGGUAGAAAGAAUCCAGCCCAUGCAUGUUUUCACUUGAAUGGUCUUGAGUAAGUGACUGCGUCUCUUUGAUCUGAGGCUCCUGACUGCAAGGAAAGGAUAGUCGUAAUAAUUGCACCCAGGUCACCUCCAACACCAUCUUGGAAUCCCUCACUAAGUGCUCCACUGGUGUGGACAUUACAGCGAAGGACACAGGAUCUCCUGAGGAUGAGGCAUCCCCCCUCUAAGUGCUCCCCUCCUGGUCUCCAACCCAGCUCCGUUUCCUGUUCACGUCUUCAGCUCUGAUGCAUGCCCUCUGCUAGCAGAGCAGCACAUUUCUCAUUUGGCAGGUGCUGCUGUUCAUGUCCUUUUCUCUGCCCAGGACUAGAACAAUGUAAUUGGAGUCACCAAUGGCAGACACAGAAAGAAAACAGGAUUGACAAGGUGGCACCGUGUGAGCUCAUGAGAGCCAAACUGUGGCAAGGGGAUUGCAGAAAUCCAGAUUCUCCACUCAGCCCUGCCCCAGCAAGAGGGCAAGCUCCAGUCAAGGGUGAAACAAGGAGACGCCCAAGUUCAGCCAUGGGAAGAUCGCACAUCUGACAUGAGCCAGGACAGCCCCUGUCUUGGGAAAUACCAUGGCUGCCGCCAUCAGUUACAGACAUUCGCAGGCCUCAGAGCAGAUAACGGGGCUGUGUACACAAAAACUGUGUCUGCCAGAGGUUCUUGAAGACACACAGCCUCCUCGGGAUGUUCUCCGAAUCCACAGUGUCUGAAGGAUGUGUGAAACCAGCCUGAAGACAGUUCUUGUAAAAAUGUCCUUGAAACCAUGAAAUCGGCACAGGACCGAUCAGAACUAAGAUAGGAAAAGCCACUCAAAGAACUCGAAAGGAUGCCAGGCCAGAGAGGAUGGUCUAUAAGUUACUAGUCACAUCAACCCACGUAAGUAAGGACUAUAUCCCUCAGAAAUGGGUGGAAUAGGAAUCAUGAAAGUUGGAGGAAGGCGAGACAGAGUCAAACACAGGCAGUGCUCAUCAGGAAGGGCUCUGCAUGGUGACAGUGCGUCGGAUCCUGUCAAGUAUAUCCUUAUUUUGAAGGUGAGACUUCCUGAGAUUUCGGUGACUGGUGCUAAACUCUGAGCGCCAAGAAAGCAGGAACAAUGUAUCUAACUUAUUCACAGGGCCUGCUGCACGGCAGGCAUUUGACGAGUGUUUGUGGAAUGAACUCAUUUACUCUUUUAACAUUCAAACCUUUCAGAUGUGCAUAUA